ACCCCCCCCAACCCCCGUUUUUAUUUUGUUUUGGAGCUGCAGGAAACUGCUGAAAAAAUUUGAAGUCACAUCUUAAACGUUUGGAUGACGUGCGUCUUUGCAGGAGUCGUCAGUGGUCCGGAGCCAAAGCCUUAGCUAAACUGAUCAAACCCCGAAAGGAGAGCAGCCGAGAGCGGGGAGGGGACAGAGACAAGGAGGACCAACAGGGAGAGGGAGGGGGCAAGGAGCGUCCAAGAUAUCCCCCUGCCUGCCACGCCCCCCAUCCUCCCGCCUGAGACCCCACCCCCUAUUUCCCUAAGGACUGGGAGUGACUCACAGGGCGGCAGUAACCAUAGCAACCACAGCAUGAGUUCCCGGUCAGCCUCCGCCCUUACGCCCAUCAGCAGAGAUUUGACUGACAGGAGCCAGAGCCUCUAUCACAGCAGCACCCCCAGGAGCAGCAAUGAGAGCGUCAACGGAGACGAAGCUCUGAUCCAGCGUAUGCACCUAAGCUCCACCCCCGCCCCUCAGGCAUCUUCCCAGAGCUUCAGCAGUACCUCCAGACCGGGACAAGGCCCCUCUCGCAGGCCCAGAGGUAAACCUGCUGCUGACUUCUUUAAAGACCCGCUCUGGUUGUGGUUUGUGGCAUUUUUCUCAUGAUGGAGGACAUUUAUAUAUAAAGAAAACUAAUAUUAAAACUAU
rnacentral:lncRNA from 1 species